rnacentral:rRNA from 1 species
AUUGAACGCUGGCGGCAUGCCUUACACAUGCAAGUCGAACGGUAACGGGCCUUCGGGUGCCGACGAGUGGCGAACGGGUGAGUAAUGUAUCGGAACGUACCUUUCAGUGGGGGAUAACGUAGCGAAAGUUACGCUAAUACCGCAUAUUCUGUGAGCAGGAAAGCAGGGGAUCGCAAGACCUUGCGCUGAUUGAGCGGCGGAGAUCAGAUUAGCUAGUUGGUGAGGUAAAAGCUAACCAAGGCGACGAUCUGUAGCGGGUCUGAGAGGAUGAUCCGCCACACUGGAACUGAGACACGGUCCAGACUCCUACGGGAGGCAGCAGUGGGGAAUUUUGGACAAUGGGGGCAACCCUGAUCCAGCCAUGCCGCGUGAGUGAAGAAGGCCUUCGGGUUGUAAAGCUCUUUCGGCCGGGAAGAAAUCGUAUCAGCUAAUACCUGGUGCGGAUGACGGUACCGGCAAAAGAAGCACCGGCUAACUACGUGCCAGCCGCCGCGGUAACAC